AUAAUUUUAUAUGUUUUAAAUUAAAAUUGUUACACUUAUGUUUAAUUGCAGAUGUCUUUAUUUAAGUCGCAAAUCCCCGAUUCUGAUUUCUUUAUCGCUUCUAGCGAGUUUACCAAUAUAAAUACAACAAAUAACAUUAAAUUAGAAGAAAAACUUGAUAUCAUUAUAGCCAACCAAAACUUCAUAAAGAGACAACAAGCAGAAACGUUGGCGAUGUUUAAGCAGCUAUUUGAAAAAGAUGUGGGCUCCUAUGGAAUGAGAAGUGUGUUCCAGUUGUCCAACUUGGAAGCAUUAAAAAAACUGAAUGCAGAUAUAGUGGCAGGUUCCAGUGCAGACUAUAUAAAAAUCAUUAAAAAUAUAAUAGGCAAAACGGGGAUUAUUAAAUCUAUUGAGGGUAUUUUCGAAAGGAGUCUUAUUGUUCAGUUGAACUACGAUGGCAUUCAUUCCAAAUACUCCUUAAAGGAAUGCAAGGGGUUAAUCGACUGCUUGUUUGAGGCAUCAAUGAAAGAAGGAUAUAAUAAAAUUAAUAGUGUCCACUGUUUCUGCUAUUGAUAGGUUUAUAGUAAGUAGUUACUAGUAAUAGAAAAAAUAGUUUGAAGGAAAGUACUUCGAAGUAUACGAAAUACU